rnacentral:rRNA from 1 species
UACGUAGGGUGCGAGCGUUGUCCGGAAUUAUUGGGCGUAAAGAGCUCGUAGGCGGUGUGUCGCGUCGGCCGUGAAAACCUGGGGCUUAACUCUGGGCGUGCGGUCGAUACGGGCAUCACUAGAGUUCGGCAGGGGAGACUGGAAUUCCAGGUGUAGCGGUGAAAUGCGCAGAUAUCAGGAGGAACACCGGUGGCGAAGGCGGAUCUCUGGGCCAUUACUGACGCUGAGGAGCGAAAGCGUGGGGAGCGAACAGG